UACAGAGGGUGCGAGCGUUAAUCGGAGUUACUGGGCGUAAAGAGCGCGUAGGCGGUUAUAUGGGUGUGAUGUGAAAGCCCCGGGCUUAACCUGGGAAGUGCAUCGCAAACUAUAUAACUGGAGUAUAUGAGAGGGUGGCGGAAUUUCCGGUGUAGCGGUGAAAUGCGUAGAGGUCGGAAGGAACGUCAAUGGCGAAGGCAGCCACCUGGCAUAAUACUGACGGCUGAGGCGCGAAAGCCAGGGGAGCGAACGGG
rnacentral:rRNA from 1 species